CUUAGGAUGAACGCUAGCGACAGGCCUAACACAUGCAAGUCGAGGGGCAGCACAAGGAGCAAUCUGAGGUGGCGACCGGCGCACGGGUGAGUAACACGUAUGCAACCUGCCUGUAAGCGGGGAAUAACCCGUUGAAAGACGGACUAAUACCGCAUAAUACUAAAUUACUGCAUGGUAAUUUAUUUAAACAUUUAUGGCUUACAGAUGGGCAUGCGCAUGAUUAGCUAGUUGGAGAGGUAACGGCUCCCCAAGGCAACGAUCAUUAGGGGUUCUGAGAGGAAGGUCCCCCACACUGGUACUGAGACACGGACCAGACUCCUACGGGAGGCAGCAGUGAGGAAUAUUGGUCAAUGGACGAGAGUCUGAACCAGCCAAGUCGCGUGCAGGAAGAAUGUCCUAUGGAUUGUAAACUGCUUUUGCAGGGGAAUAAAGUGCAUCACGUGUGAUGUUUUGUAUGUACUCUGCGAAUAAGGAUCGGCUAACUCCGUGCCAGCAGCAGC
rnacentral:rRNA from 1 species